AAUCCCCACAUGGACACACACAAAACCAGUCAUCCUUAACACACAGACCCACAGAAAACACACAGAAGCACACAGGGUGACACCAGAAACAGCUUCACACACAGACUUCGGCACAAGUUCACAGAAGUUGCAGACACAUGCGCCAUCCAACAGCCACACAUAAACAUGCAACCACACAAACAUACACAAUCAAACAUACACAAACAGUCAUCAGUGCUCUUUAGGGCUGGACACACAGUAUCACUCAAUUGUUAUGAACCAACACUCAAGCUGGUACAUUCAGCUCCUACAAAUUACCACCCACGUGUGCACGUGCACGCGUACACACACACACACACACACACACGUCCACAUCUGAACCCAGACUCAGACACAAGCCCACAAGCUCAGAGACACAACAGCAACCCCCGAACACCAACACAGCGCCACACAAACACACAGCUGGUCUGUGACACAC
rnacentral:lncRNA from 1 species